AGGUUACCAAGAAGGUUGUAAUUUUUCUAUAAGUUCAUAUUUCCGUCUCUUAAUUACAAGCAAACACUACAAGAGAAGGGGGUAAAGAUAUUAUAAGAAGAUAGCGUUCUGGUCGAGAAUGCUAUUUUUGACAUAACUCAUAAUUUAAGAUAGCGUUUUUUUUACCUCGAUGCUAUAAAAAACCGCAUAUUGUACAUUAAAACGCUAUCUUUAGUGAGGCGAAAAAAUGAUUGAUUUUUCGCUCCUACCCUCAUUUCAUUUCCUUCUCAUUUUAUUCUUUAAAUAUUUACAUAUAGAAGAAAGAAAUUUUUCUAUUGGUUGAAAGUAAUACACAAGGAUUGCAAUCUCUACCCUUAAUUAUUUUUAACCAAAGGUGGAGAUUGUGUUUUAAGCUGUCCUAUCCUUUUGACUUCUGAAACACGACGAGAGAGAGAGAGAGAUGAUGAGAGAUUACAAGGGAAGAAGACAGAGACCGGCCUGAGUUCGUCGCCUUCGUCACCGUCUGAGUUUGUCGCCGUCGACCUGUCUCUACUCCUCGUCACUUUGUUCUUCCGGAAUCCGUACUCAUCCUGAGAACGCCCCUCUCUCCUCUGCAGCCGAAUCCGAAACCAACACUCGUCUCACUCUCAAUCUCCUCUCAUGUCUACUCCUCAGGUCUGGUGCUUCCUCUUCAAAGAACAGAUGAAAUCCACAUCCCAAACCCAUCUUGGAUGCAAUCUCCUUCCAAAGAAGAGGCUCAGAACUAGCCACAUAUAUGAUGAAAGUUGCUUUUGGAGGUUUGGAUUCUGUGAGUCAGCCACCACAUCAACCUGACCGUAGCAAUGAGCAGACAUGAACCUCAAAUGCUCUUGCAUUCCCAGGUCCUGAAGGUUCUAAGAGUACCCAAAAGGGUGUGACAGAGAAUGCUCUUGUUGUUGGUCCAAUUUUACACCCAAAGGGUUUCUGUGUGCUAAGAGACGGAAGAUGUUGGAAGACAUGGAAAAAGACUUUGAAGGUGGACAAGAGGCAGAUAAGCUUGGAGGAGGAGGUAGCAAAAGCGGUGGGUCGUUAGCCUCAGGGACAUUAGGUUUAGAGUGGAAAAGGUCCAAGCUCCUGUGUGUGAUUGGAAGACGGCAACGUUGGAGUACUCGUUUCGACGGCGUCGGUCGUGGUGUGGUGCGGUUCUAGAAGAUAGAACUUUAGGUAUAGAAUUUAGGUGUAGGUUUAAUAUUUUUGAAAAAAUUGGUUUAGUUUGGUUUAGUUUGGUAUACCAGUCAUAAAUAUGUAACUAAUUUCGAUAUAUAAAAAAUUUGAAAUAUUUUAUUUGUAUUA